rnacentral:rRNA from 1 species
GAUGAACGCUGGCGGCGUGCCUAAUACAUGCCAGUCGAGCGAACAGACGAGGAGCUUGCUCCUCUGACGUUAGCGGCGGACGGGUGAGUAACACGUGGAUAACCUACCUAUAAGACUGGGAUAACUUCGGGAAACCGGAGCUAAUACCGGAUAAUAUAUUGAACCGCAUGGUUCAAUAGUGAAAGACGGUUUUGCUGUCACUUAUAGAUGGUUCCGCGCCGCAUUAGCUAGUUGGUAAGGUAACGGCUUACCAAGGCAACGAUGCGUAGCCGACCUGAGAGGGUGAUCGGCCACACUGGAACGGAGACACGGUCCAGACUCCUACGGGAGGCAGCAGUAGGGAAUCUUCCGCAAUGGGCGAAAGCAUGACGGAGCAACGCCGCGUGAGUGAUGAAGGUCUUCGGAUCGUAAAACUCUGUUAUUAGGGAAGAACAAAUGUGUAAGUAACUAUGCACGUCUUGACGGUACCUAAUCAGAAAGCCACGGCUAACUACGUG